rnacentral:tRNA from 1 species
ACUUUAAAUAAAAAAAAUAAAUAGUUUAAAUAAAAUGUUAGCUUGUGGCGCUUAAGAUGUA